UACGAAGGUCCCGAGCGUUGUUCGGAAUCACUGGGCGUAAAGGGAGCGUAGGCGGCGCGGUAAGUCGGAUGUGAAAUCCCGGGGCUCAACCCCGGAACUGCAUCUGAUACUGCCGUGCUAGAGUAAUGGAGAGGUAGCUGGAAUUAUCGGUGUAGCAGUGAAAUGCGUAGAUAUCGAUAGGAACACUCGUGGCGAAAGCGAGCUACUGGACAUUUACUGACGCUGAGGCUCGAAGGCUAGGGGAGCGAAAGGGAUUAGAUACCCCUGUAGUCCUAGCAGUAAACGGUGCACGCUUGGUGUGAGGGGAAUCGACCCCCCUUGUGCCGGAGCUAACGCGUUAAGCGUGCCGCCUGGGAAGUACGGUCGCAAGACUA
rnacentral:rRNA from 1 species